rnacentral:rRNA from 1 species
UGAGUAGGCGGUUGCAUAUGUCAGAUGUAAAAGGCACAGGCUCAACUUGUGUUAGCAUUUGAAACUGUGCGACUUGAGUGCAGGAGAGGUAAGUGGAAUUCCUAGUGUAGCGGUGAAAUGCGUAGAUAUUAGGAGGAACACCAGUGGCGAAGGCGACUUACUGGACUGUAACUGAUGCUGAGUCACGAAAGCGUGGGUAGCAAACA